ACGUUUUUUUCAUAGAGAUUUAGAUUUAAGGUUAGAAGAAUUGUGGAAGUCGUGAGACUUCCCUUUUUUUCAUCUUAAAUUGAGUGCUUUGCGGCUUUUUGUUUUUGACCGCAAUAGAACAAAGAAAAGCUUUUUCGUGAGAAAGAGCUUUUUU
rnacentral:sRNA from 1 species